rnacentral:lncRNA from 1 species
GGAGAGGUAAGUCGAGCUUAGACUAUAAAUAAGCGCUUCUCGGGAGGCAACCCGAGCACUAACAAUAUUAAUCUCUUUCAAUUUUGGUAUUUAACUCCUAACUUUUGAAUAGAAAUCUUGAAUACAGGUGUUUCCACAGAGACAUUAAGGCUGUGUGAAAACAGGGCAAAAGAUUUCCCCAACAUGGGCUACGAUUAAAC